rnacentral:rRNA from 1 species
UGCGUAGGCGGAAAAUUAAGUCAGUGGUGAAAUCCUGCAGCUUAACUGUAGAACUGUCAUUGAUACUGAUUUUCUUGAAUAUAGUUGAGGUAGGCGGAAUGUGUAAUGUAGCGGUGAAAUGCUUAGAUAUUACACAGAACACCGACUGCGAAGGCAGCUUACUAAGCUAUUAUUGACGCUGAGGCACGAAAGCGUGGGGAGCGAACAGGAUUAGAUACCCUGGUAGUCC